UACUGUCUGCAUUUGCAGUAUCGUAGCCAAUGAGGUUAAUCCGAGGCGUGAUUAUUGCUAUUUGUAAACUUAUGCUCUGCUUCUGGGAAACAUCCCAGACAAGUUGGUGUUAGUUCUGCCUA
rnacentral:snRNA from 1 species